rnacentral:rRNA from 1 species
CGGACGCCAGCUCGAUCGCUCCUUAAGCGAGCUUGCUGCGGCCUCUGCGUCACGGGCCCGGGAUCCGAUUAGCUCAGUAACACGUGGAUAAUCUGCCCUAUGGUGGAGGAUAACCCCGGGAAACUGGGGAUAAUACUCCAUAAGUCAGGAGUACUGGAAUGUCUCCUAACUGAAAGUUGCGGCGCCAUAGGAUGAAUCUGCGGCCGAUUAGGUAGUUUUUGUUUUAACGGCCCAACAAGCCUGUAAUCGGUACGGGUUGUGGGAGCAAGAGCCCGGAGAUGGAAUUUUUUGACAAAACUAUUUUGGCCCUACGGGGCGCAGCAUUUUUUGAAAACUUUACAAUGCAGGACACUGUGAUAAGGGAACCCCGAGUGCCCGUAAACGCGGGCUGUCCCGGUGUUUAAAACACAUCGGAAGAAAGGGCCGGGCAAGACCGGUGCCAGCCGCCGCGGUAAUACCGGCGGCUCGAGUGGUGACCACUUUUAUUGGGCUUAAAGCGUUCGUAGCUUGAUUUUUAAGUCUCUUGGAAAUCUCACGGCUUACUGUGAGGCGUCUAGAGAUACUGGGAUCUAGGGACCGGGAGAGGUAGAGUACUUCAGGUAGAGUGAAUCUGUAUCUUGAGGACACGAUGCGAGCAUCUACGACGCUCGAAGUGAGAACGAGCUGGGGACGACGAUAAACCGUGUCCCCCGUACAUAGCGCGAAGUGCGUGUAACACAAAUCCGGUGCCAAAAACGAAG